rnacentral:lncRNA from 1 species
UUCUCUUUUUUUCUCAUUCCUCCUCCAGUGGCAGGAUGUGAUCCACCAGCAAGGAGGGAUGCCAAUAAGUUCACACUACCUCCCAAUGUGACCAUGCUGAUAAGAGCUUCUAAUGUAAACUCUUGGAGCAUAAAACACAUCCAAAUCUAUAGUAUCCACUAUCAAUACAAGGAAAAAGAUGAAGGAAAGGCCUGACUUUUGUAUCUAGUCACAGACACUGCCAGAAGGCAGCAACACAACAUGAAGCUCAUUCCAACUGAAACACAACAAAGGAGAUACCACAGGUGUGCUGGUAUACAACGAAAAUUCUAACUCUCAAGUGGCUCAGGCAGGAGAAUCAAAAGUUCAACACCAUCCUGACCCUGUGUCAAAAAUGCUGUUUUCCUUCUGGAAAUAAAAUUCUGUAUAUACAAGCAGAGCCAUUUUUAAAAAUCAGAUUUAUUGCUCUUACAUUUUACUGCCUUGAGUCUCAAUAAAAAAAAAUUGUAUUUGCUUUCUUUAUAUACAAAUAUAAUUUAAAUAAAUAAUCUCAGAAAAUAAAUCAACUCAGCAUAUCCCAGAGUUUUAAGUGGCUUUAUAAACAUCAUCUAGUGUUACAAGGAAACAGUUUGCAUUCUAACCACAGAAAUGUUCAAUCAUUUUAACUAUUGAAC